UACGUAGGGGGCGAGCGUUGUCCGGAAUUACUGGGCGUAAAGCGCAUGUAGGCGGGCGACUAAGUCAGGGGUGAAAACCGUGGGCUCAACCUACGGCUUGCCCUUGAUACUGGUCGUCUUGAGUACAGGAGAGGGAGGCGGAAUUCCCGGUGUAGCAGUGAAAUGCGUAGAGAUCGGGAGGAACACCAGUAGCGAAGGCGGCCAUCUGGCUGAUAACUGACGCUGAGGUGCGAGAGCGUGGGGAGCAAACAGG
rnacentral:rRNA from 1 species